rnacentral:rRNA from 1 species
GAUGAACGCUGGCGGCGUGCCUAAUACAUGCAAGUCGAGCGAACGGACGAGAAGCUUGCUUCUCUGAUGUUAGCGGCGGACGGGUGAGUAACACGUGGAUAACCUACCUAUAAGACUGGGAUAACUUCGGGAAACCGGAGCUAAUACCGGAUAAUAUUUUGAACCGCAUGGUUCAAAAGUGAAAGACGGUCUUGCUGUCACUUAUAGAUGGAUCCGCGCUGCAUUAGCUAGUUGGUAAGGUAACGGCUUACCAAGGCAACGAUGCAUAGCCGACCUGAGAGGGUGAUCGGCCACACUGGAACCGAGACACGGUCCAGACUCCUGCGGGAGGCAGCAGUAGGGAAUCUUCCGCAAUGGGCGAAAGCCUGACGGAGCAACGCCGCGUGAGCGAUGAAGGUCUUCGGAUCGUAAAACUCUGUUAUUAGGGAAGAACAUAUGUGUAAGUAACUGUGCACAUCUUGACGGUACCUAAUCAGAAAGCCACGGCUAACUACGUG